rnacentral:rRNA from 1 species
AGUGAACGCUGGCGGUAGGCCUAACACAUGCAAGUCGAACGGCAGCACAGUAAGAGCUUGCUCUUACGGGUGGCGAGUGGCGGACGGGUGAGGAAUACAUCGGAAUCUACUUUUUCGUGGGGGAUAACGUAGGGAAACUUACGCUAAUACCGCAUACGACCUACGGGUGAAAGCAGGGGAUCUUCGGACCUUGCGCGUUUGAAUGAGCCGAUGUCGGAUUAGCUAGUUGGCGGGGUAAAGGCCCACCAAGGCGACGAUCCGUAGCUGGUCUGAGAGGAUGAUCAGCCACACUGGAACUGAGACACGGUCCAGACUCCUACGGGAGGCAGCAGUGGGGAAUAUUGGACAAUGGGCGAAAGCCUGAUCCAGCCAUACCGCGUGGGUGAAGAAGGCCUUCGGGUUGUAAAGCCCUUUUGUUGGGAAAGAAAAGCAGCAGGUUAAUACCCCGAUGUUCUGACGGUACCCAAAGAAUAAGCACCGGCUAACUUCGUG